UACGGAGGGUGCAAGCGUUAUCCGGAUUCACUGGGUUUAAAGGGUGCGUAGGAGGGCAGGUAAGUCAGUGGUGAAAUCCCCGAGCUUAACUUGGGAACUGCCGUUGAUACUAUCUGUCUUGAAUAUCGUGGAGGUGAGCGGAAUAUGUCAUGUAGCGGUGAAAUGCUUAGAUAUGACAUAGAACACCAAUUGCGAAGGCAGCUCGCUACACAUAUAUUGACUCUGAGGCACGAAAGCGUGGGGAUCAAACAGG
rnacentral:rRNA from 1 species